GUGCUCGCUUCGGCAGCACAUAUACUAAAAUUGGAACGAUACAGAGAUUAGCACGGCCCCUGCUCAAGGAUGACACAAAUUUGUGAAGCGUUAUAUAUUAAA